rnacentral:lncRNA from 1 species
UACAAUAUAUACAAAUAACAUACGGACGGGUCGGGUCGGGUGCUCCGGCCCAAAUUAAAUAAUGACAUGUGGGCUCAGACGCACAAAUCAUCAUAGCCCAAUUACAACCCAAUUACAAGGUAUAUCAUGGAAAUACCAAAAAUAUACACUGAGUAUACACAAAAUGUACAAGUCUAGACAAAGCUAAAUCAUGUAGUUUCUCUUAUCUCAACACCCCCCCUCAAGUUGGAGGGGGAAACCACCUGCAACUUCGUGAGCAGCGGAAGAAGCAAAGUGCGAGGCAGUGGCUUAGUGAGCAGGCCGGCCAGCUGACGAGAAGUAGGCACAUGAAGCAGCUUGAGA